rnacentral:rRNA from 1 species
CCUACGGGUGGCUGCAGUGGGGAAUAUUGCACAAUGGGCGCAAGCCUGAUGCAGCCAUGCCGCGUGUGUGAAGAAGGCCUUCGGGUUGUAAAGCACUUUCAGCGGGGAGGAAGGCGUUAAGGUCAAUAACCUUGUCGAUUGACGUUACCCGCAGAAGAAGCACCGGCUAACUCCGUGCCAGCAGCCGCGGUAAUACGGAGGGUGCCAGCGUGAAUCGGAAUUACUGGGCGUAAAGCGCACGCAGGCGGUCUGUCAAGUCGGAUGUGAAAUCCCCGGGCUCAACCUGGGAACUGCAUUCGAAACUGGCAGGCUAGAGUCUUGUAGAGGGGGGUAGAAUUCCAGGUGUAGCGGUGAAAUGCGUAGAGAUCUGGAGGAAUACCGGUGGCGAAGGCGGCCCCCUGGACAAAGACUGACGCUCAGGUGCGAAAGCGUGGGGAGCAAACAGGAUUAGAUACCCUUGUAGUC